GGGCCCAUUUUCUUUUGCAGAAAUUCUUUCGGUGAUAUGUUCCAAAGCAGAGGCUAUAUUCUGUAAAAUCCAAUCAUGAACUUGUGCCGCAGGAACAGGAACAGCAGGCAUGUCGGGAUCUGAAUUGGCAAAAAAUGGAGCAGCUUGACUUAAUGAAACUCCUUCAGAUCCUUUCUCACCAAAUUGAAUCAGAAACCCAAGGUGCUCAAAACCUUCCAUGGUCAAAACCAGAGACUCUUCGCCUUCUCCUUCCACAGGCUCUGCCAAAAGAGAGAGAAUGUUAGCCAUGUGCUUUUGUAGAUAGGAUAACUGAUGAGCCUCUUCAUCAGCCUGUGAUGGCAUAAACCGACGGCUGUUGCUACGCACAAGCUGAAGCGGCGAUAAAGCCGACAGGUACCCAUCGAAAGCUGAGGUGGAGGGCCAGACAUCGGCCACGGCAGCAGAGUCCUUAUGUGUCCUGGGCAACAACUUCUUAUACGAUUGUAUAUACAAAAAUAAUAUCAGAUCAUGCAAAUCCGCCCCAACGGAAUCAAUCUCUCCGGGUUCGGCCUUCACAAGCGGGUCAGCCCCGGAGUGGAGAACAGAGGCGAGAGUGUCGAGAACGAGCCUAGCAUGGUCGACGGAGAUCUGAACGGUGUCAGCAAGGGUGGCAUAAUCAACACGGGGAUGGGAAACGAGUUUCUGC
rnacentral:misc_RNA from 1 species